rnacentral:rRNA from 1 species
ACUCCUACGGGAGGCAGCAGUGGGGAAUCUUAGACAAUGGGGGCAACCCUGAUCUAGCCAUGCCGCGUGAGUGAUGAAGGCCUUAGGGUUGUAAAAGCUCUUUCAGUCGUGAAGAUAAUGACGGUAGCGACAGAAGAAGCCCCGGCUAACUCCGUGCCAGCAGCCGCGGUAAUACGGAGGGGUUAGCGUUGUUCGGAAUUACUGGGCGUAAGCGCGCGUAGGCGGACUAGAAAGUUGGGGUGAAAUCCCGGGGCUCAACCCCGGAACGGCCUCCAAAACUCCCAGUCUUGAGUUCGAGAGAGGUGAGUGGAAUUCCGAGUGUAGAGGUGAAAUUCGUAGAUAUUCGGAGGAACACCAGUGGCGAAGGCGGCUCACUGGCUCGAUACUGACGCUGAGGUGCGAAAG